rnacentral:rRNA from 1 species
UUCUGACCGUAAACGAUACCAUCUAGCGAUCCGGUGGUGGUUUUUCCGCCUUGCCGGGGAGCUUCCCGGAAACGAAAGACUUCCGGUUCCGGGGGUAGUAUGGUUGCAAAGCUGAAACUUAAAGGAAUUGACGGAAUCGCACCACCAGGAGUGGAGCCUGCGGCUUAAUUUGACUCAACACGGGAAAACUCACCCGGCCCGGACACUGUAAGGAUUGACAGACUGAGAGCUCUUUCUUGAUUCGGUGGUUGGUGGUGCAUGGCCGUUCUUAGUUGGUGGAGCGAUUUGUCUGGUUUAUUCCGAUAACGAGCGAGACGCACCCCUACUUAAUACACCGUGAAUAAUUUCUUUCACAGGUGUUUUUAGAGGAAUUGGCGGGAUCGAGCCGCACGAAAGUGCGCAAUAACAGGUCUGUGAUGCC